rnacentral:rRNA from 1 species
GACGAACGCUGGCGGCGUGCCUAAUACAUGCAAGUCGAACGCAGUUGCGAACGGGUGAGUAACGCGUAGGUAACUGCCUCAUAGCGGGGGAUAACUAUUGGAAACGAUAGCUAAUACCGCAUCCUGUGAGAUGGACCUGCGUUGUAUUAGCUAGUUGGUGAGGUAAAGGCUAACCAAGGCGACGAUACAUAGCCGACCUGAGAGGGGUAGCGGACAAACUGGGACUGAGAAACGGCCCAGAAUCCUAAGGGAGGCAGAAGGAGGGAAUCUUCGGAAAUGGAAGGAAGUCUGACCGAGCAAAGCCGGGUGAGUGAAGAAGGUUCUCGGAGCGUAAAGCUAUGUUGUGAGAGAAGCGGUAACUAAACAGAAAGGGACGGCUAACUACGUGCCAGCAGCCGCGGUAAUUC